UACGGAGGGUGCAAGCGUUGUCCGGAUUUAUUGGGUUUAAAGGGUGCGUAGGUGGUUUUCUAAGUCUGGUUUGAAGGCUGGUGGCUUAACCAUCAGAUGUGGCUGGAAACUGGAGGACUUGAAUGCGUUGGCGGUAGCCGGAACGGGUCAUGUAGCGGUGAAAUGCAUAGAUAUGACCCAGAACACCGAUUGCGAAGGCAGGCUACUACGACGCGAUUGACACUGAGGCACGAGAGCAUGGGUAGCGAACAGG
rnacentral:rRNA from 1 species